rnacentral:tmRNA from 1 species
GGGGCCGAUCCGGUUUCGACGUGGGUUGCAAAGCAGUGAGGGCAUGCCGAGGGCUGGUCACCUCGUAAAUCCAACCGGAAAACCACAAACGCCAACGACGAGCGUUUUGCUCUCGCAGCCUAAAAAACUAGCGAAGCCGCUACACCGGUGCUUCCCUCGACCGGAGCGGGACCUCAAAAGCCCGCGGUAGCGUCAUUCAGAGGGAAUCGGCGUGCGUCGGGUUACUUGGCGCCCGCUUAAAUCUAGGUGACUCGCCGCUGUCCGGCCUGCC